GUUCCUCCUCAUCCUGGUUCUACACUUCGGCCUUUUCCUUCCAACAAAAGAUCCUUGUGGAGACUCUAAUUCCUUGGGAACCAUUGUUUCCAUAGUCUGACAGCCAAAGUGAGGGCCCAGCACCAUGGCCUCCUCCCUCUCCUGGGAUGACAAGUGGAGACCCAGCACACAAUGUCCCGCCUCUACCAUAGGCAUGGGAUCCCUGAGGACCCAGGACAGGUUGAACCUUGACCUGGGAGACUCCAUUUUGAGAGAGGAUGAUGACUGCAGUCCCCGGAUGGAUGACCUACAAACUGCACCAUCUGCAGGCACCACUCACACAUACAUCAUGGACUGAUAAAUGAUUUAUUCCUGGGAAUAGAAAAGGAUAUAUUGGGGUGAGUUAAGACUGUAGGGGCAUAUGGGGUAUACCAUAUCAAGAAAAUCAGGCCCAAGAACUUAUUAGUCAUGCCAUAGAGAAAAAAAGAGUGUAACUCCCUCCCUCAACUGGACCCCAUACAAAGACGGACAUAUAACACUAGAGUGGCAUAACCUCACCAACCUGACACCCAGCAUGUGUCAGGGAUAGACACACAGGAAACUCCUGACUGUCCUUGGAGCUUCACCUCAGAUCUGACCUCAGCUGUAGCAUGCUUGACUGCCUCUCCACUCCCCCCCCCCCCAUUUGUUCACUCAUUUGGAUCUGAAUAUGUCCUGGUCUGUUUUGCUCCACCCUGAGCCUUGUUCUCAAACCAAGCUCUCAAAAGGCUCUCUAAACCUAAUAGGUUCCCUGCAGCUGGUGUGGGCUCCUGUUCAUUGUCUUAUCUAUAAUAGACUUUGUUAACAUUCCCAUCAGCCUAAUUCUGGAAUCUUCUGAACUCUGCUGCAGCCUCUUUUAACUUGUAUCCAUUAUGUAAACCUCAUAUAGAGAGAUUGAAUGUAUCUUUACUUUGGGUUAUAUAAUAUAAGAAUUAAUAUUAGUAAUUAAGAUUGGGUAAAAAGGACCUGCAUCUGCCUGGUCCAGAAUACCAAGAUAGAUGAGAUUAUCUGGCAAAUUGCUCCCAUUGAAACCUCUGAACUUUGUGACUCCAACGUUAUUGAAUAAAGUUUGACAUUAUGGAAAGGUA